UAGGAGGACCAUCUGCUUCAGGUGAACCUGGAUCAUCGAACCAUAACGGCAGUGACUCAAUGUCAGGAGCAGAUGCUAUCGAUGACUAAUGGAGGCAAAGAAGUCCCAAGAUCUGUACUUAGCAAGCUGGAGACCAGGGAGAGCUGAUGGCAUAGUCUCGGUGCAAGUCCAAAGGCCUGAGAACCAGGAGAGCUGACAGAGGCAGUUCCAAUCCUGGUCAUGAAUCUGCAUUAUGGAUCUUCACAAAUUGAAGAAGCCCUUAAGGGGCCACGCUGGGAAAGGCAAGUUGAAAGAGAAGGACAUCCCUGACUACUUAAUAAAC